AAGGCUUGACAUACACCGGAAACGGCCAGAGAUGGUUGCCCCCUUGUGGUCGGUGUACAGGUGGUGCAUGGUUGUCGUCAGCUCGUGUCGUGAGAUGUUGGGUUAAGUCCCGCAACGAGCGCAACCCUCGUUCUAUGUUGCCAGCGCGUUAUGGCGGGGACUCAUAGGAGACUGCCGGGGUCAACUCGGAGGAAGGUGGGGAUGACGUCAAAUCAUCAUGCCCCUUAUGUCUUGGGCUUCACGCAUGCUACAAUGGCCGGUACAAAGGGCUGCGAUACCGUAAGGUGGAGCGAAUCCCAAAAAGCCGGUCUCAGUUCGGAUUGAGGUCUGCAACUCGACCUCAUGAAGUCGGAGUCGCUAGUAAUCGCAGAUCAGCAACGCUGCGGUGAAUACGUUCCCGGGCCUU
rnacentral:rRNA from 1 species